UUGGUUCAGCAGUACAUGUCCUGAAAUUUGAGUGACACAGAGAAGACUGGCAGGGCCCUGUGCAAGGGUGACACACACAGUUUCCCAUUGAAAAAAAAAAAAAAAUU
rnacentral:snRNA from 1 species